rnacentral:rRNA from 1 species
GAUGAACGCUGGCGGCGUGCUUAACACAUGCAAGUCGAACGGAAAGGCUCCUGCUUGCAGGGGUACUCGAGUGGCGAACGGGUGAGUAACACGUGGGUGAUCUGCCCUGCACUUCGGGAUAAGCCUGGGAAACUGGGUCUAAUACCGGAUAGGACGAUGGUUUGGAUGCCAUUGUGGAAAGUUUUUUCGGUGUGGGAUGAGCUCGCGGCCUAUCAGCUUGUGGGUGGGGUAAUGGCCUACCAAGGCGUCGGCGGGUAGCCGGCCUGAGAGGGUGUACGGCCACAUUGGGACUGAGAUACGGCGCAGACUCCUACGGGAGGCAGCAGUGGGGAAUAUUGCACAAUGGGCGCAAGCCUGAUGCAGCGACGCCGCGUGGGGGAUGACGGCCUUCGGGUUGUAAACUCCUUUCGCUAGGGACGAAGCGCAAGUGACGGUACCUGGAGAAGAAGCACCGGCUAACUACGUG